rnacentral:sRNA from 1 species
GCCGGGCAUGGUGGCGCAUGCCUGUAGUCCCAGCUACUCGGGAGGCUGAGGCAGAAGGAUUGCUUGAGCCCAGGAGUUUGAGGUUGCUGUGAGCUAGGCUGAUGCCACGGCACUCACUCUAGCCUGUGCAACAAAGUGAGACUCUGUCUCAAAAAAAAAAAAAAAAAAUUAGCCGGGGCAUGGUGGCACAUGCCUGUAGUCCCAGCUACUCAGGAGGCUGAGAAAGAAGGAUUGCUUAAGCCCAGGAGUCUGAGGUUGCUGUGAGUUAGGCUGAUGCCAUGGCACUCUAGCCUGAGCAACACAGUGAGACUCUGUCUCA